AAUAUUGCACAAUGGUGGAAACUCUGAUGCAGCGACGCCUCUUGAACGAUGAAUGCCUUCGGUUCGUAAAUUUCUGUCCUAGGGGACGUUAAUGCCGGUACCCUAGGAGGCAGCUCCGGCUAACUACGUGCCAGCAUCCGCGGUAAUACGUAGGGGGCGAGCGUUGUCCGGAAUUAUUGGGCGUAAAGGUCUCGUAGGCGGUCUUUUAAGUCAGAUGUGAAAGGUCACGGCUCAACCGUGGUAAGCAUUUGAAACUGAGAGACUUGAGUUAAGGAGAGGAAAGUGGAAUUCCUAGUGUAGCGGUGAAAUGCGUAGAUAUUAGGAGGAAUACCAGUGGCGAAGGCGACUUUCUGGACUUAAACUGACGCUGAGGAACGAAAGCGUGGGGAGCAAACAGG
rnacentral:rRNA from 1 species